rnacentral:rRNA from 1 species
UACAGAGGUCCCAAGCGUUGUUCGGAUUCACUGGGCGUAAAGGGGGCGUAGGGGGGGGGGUAAGGCGGAUGGGAAAGCUCGGAGCUCAACUCCGAAAUGGCAUUGGAAACUACCCUGCUAGAGGAUUGGAGGGGGGACUGGAAUACUUGGUGUAGCAGUGAAAUGCGUAGAUAUCAAGUGGAACACCAGUGGCGAAGGCGAGUCCCUGGACAAUACCUGACACUGAGGCACGAAAGCUAGGGGAGCAAACAGG